rnacentral:lncRNA from 1 species
AUGAGUGUGGCCACCCGGCCGUGGGGGCCCCAACCCGGCUGCUCUGCACGGUGGCUCCGCGGCCACAGGAGUCUCCCUGGGAGUCUCCACGGGCUCCUGGUGCCCGGGCCAAAGGCUCCAAGGCUGGUCCCUCAUUUCCAGCAGAAAACUGUUUUCCUGGACUGUCUUUUUCUUGGCUUACGGAUUUGUGACUGCACUUUCCCAAGAAGUGUUGAAGCUCGGCUCACAUUUUUGUGUGGAGAACCAGCUAACCCCUUCCUCAAAGUUUUUGUGAGGAAAAGUAAUUUAAAUGUUUGAAAAAGAGUUGUAACCUGGUAAAGUGCCUCCGAAGGCUGCUGAGUGCCUCAGAGAGCAGGUACCGCGUGCUUGCUGCGUGUGGGUGUUCGGGCCAGGUACUUUGGGGUUAUGUGUGUCAACGUGACCUGGUCCCUACCUGCCAUCACCUGGGGGGGGGGCUGUGAACAAUUCCUGUCAGUGUUGAUAGGAGACAGUGAGACUGUGCCAUCAACGGUAGUCUCCGUGACCCUGGACCCUCAGAACAAGCCUGCGAAGUAGGUACUAUCAUAUUACCUUCUAUGAGUAUCCCCAUUUAACAGAUGAGAAACUGAGGCCCAGAGGGAUGAAGUAGCUUGUCCAGGAUCAAAUACAUAGCAAAUACUGGAACUGGGAUUUGCAGCUGGCAAUUGAGAAGGAGGCUGGAAUCCAGAGAAGAGGGUUCUGGAGUUCAGAGGGGAGUCCAGCUUCCCACGGGGGGUGGGGGGGGAGGAAGGUGACCUGGGGUGGGUGCAGGCCAGAGCGGGGAACGUGUUUCCUAGGCAGCCUGCAGGGAAGACUGAAAAUGCCCCAUGUUUGGGGGUGGGGGAGACGCUGAUGAGAGUCUGGGGAGCACAGGAGGGGCACAGGGAGAGGUGGAGCUGUGGCACUCAACUGGGGCUCCCGGGGACUUUUUUUUUGGCCACCCGCAGCAUAUGGAGUUCUGGGCCAGGGAUUAGAUCCCAGUUGCAGGUGCCACCUAGCCUGCAGCUGUGGCAAUGCCAGCUCCUUAAUCCACCGUGCCGGGCUGGGGUUCAAAUCUGCGUCCCAGUGCUCCUAAGACACUGCCGAUCCCAUUGCACCGCAGGGUUUGACUUUUAAUGCAGGGGUGACAGAUGGCUGGUCUGUCCACAUGCUGUCACAUGGGCAGCUCCUACGGGUCACCAGCACCCUUCCUCCGUUUCUUCAAGGGACAAAGCGACUUUGCUCUAGAGCAGAACACUGAUCGUCCCACACAUAUGUCCCUACUUUUGUUGCUGUCGCUGUGAGGUUUUUAAACUGGAGACCAUUUCACUUUCACACACCAACCACAAUGUCGAAUAAAUUGGUUGAACUUGUAGAUUUAUAUCCGCA